rnacentral:lncRNA from 1 species
ACAUGAAUAUUACACCGAUCCUUUCCUUUCCCUUAUGGGAAGGGCACCAGGUAUUUACCCUGGCUCACAAAUGAGCUUCCACACAUGGUAACAAAGUGGUAGCUGGCAUUAGGAGCGGGGUCUUGCAGCCCUUUCUCAGCGGCUGUGCCAGGCCAUGGAGCUGUUGGCUGAUUCUGCCAGCGAUGGGCACUGCUGCAGGCCUGGCAUGGAGCAAGCGGGGAGGAAACGACUGAAGGUGAGUGGCAGUCAGGGAGGAAAAUGUUGCCUUUCAAUAGGUUCACCAGUAAUUCUGCAGCGAGAUUACAGAGGUGAGAUCUGAAUUUGUUCCUAGGUUGUCAGUUUUCGUGAAAACUCAUUGCUUGCAGUCCUGGUUCAGGUGCCUUGUAUGUGUAUAUGCUACCUGAGGCACCUGCUGCUUGUGAGAGAUGAGAACGGUGCUAGAUUUUCUUGUCAGCUGCCUCCCACCUAGACACAGAUUAUUUUCAAAAUUAGAGCCUUGGUUAAAAGUAGAUUUUGUUACCAAAUAGUUCUUAUUUCAGUUUUCCACUAGGAAGCACAAAUACUUCUGGAAAUGCGGUACAACAGCAGGGCUGUUGCCUCCGAGCGAGAAGACUCAGCGAUCUCUGUGCUCACAGCACUGCCAUCCUGCUAUUCGGAUCCUUUCAAGUGCCAAAAGUGAUUUUCUUUCUGGCAACAGACCAAGAGCAUAAAUGAGGUAGUGACAGCAUGUCCCCAGAUACCUGCUGCAGGAGGAGAGGCGACUACUUCCCACCCUACCAGCUACCAUCCUUCCUAAAAACCUGUGGGACUGGAGCAGUGUGUCCACAGCAUUCCCCAGAUACCAGGCUUUUUGCAUGCUCUGAGUAUUUUCAAGCCACGGUAAUUGCAGGAAGAUAGCCGCCUGUGAUACAAGCCUGCCCCCCAAGCCUUGCUUUGUGAAGUAUUGUGAAACCCCACCCCAGUCCUGUGAUCAUUUCAACAAGGUGCUCAGGAAAAACCAGCUAUCACCUUUCCGGAAGCGGUGUCCCCACCGUUACGAGUUGCAGCAGGAGAUGGCACAGCCCCCCUGUCGGUCCUGCAGAACUCUCUGCCAUCAGGAGCCAACGAGAGGUGGGUGCCCCCGUGCUGCCCCCGUGCUGCCCCCGCUGCUUCUGCUCCCAGCGCUCGGCAUUUCUCCCUGGGGCACCAAGCAGCGGGUGCAGGAGCGCAGCCCCUGCCCAGUGCAGUGAUUUGGUGGCUCUGCACCGAGCCUCUGAGCGCAGCGCUGCAGGAACCAGGCCUGCAGGCACAGCCCUCGGCUUGGGCUUGCAUCGCAAGGGCUCUUUUCCCUGGUGAUCAGCCAGGUGGUGUUCCCCAGCUGAGGCCAGUCCUGUGUCUCCAGGAGUGCUGUGCAAGAAGCCAGCGAGGGCGAUCGCUGCCUGUGCGCUCCGAGAGGAGAAAGAGCCUGAGCAAGGCACGCAGCCUCCACCCGGAGAGGCUGCAGCCACUCACAGGCUGAGGGUAAGGGAGCGUGAAGAAAGAUAAGGAGCUAAAAUGAGAA